rnacentral:rRNA from 1 species
UACGGAAUGUGCAAACGUUAUUAGGAAUCACUGGGCUUAAAGAGUCCGUAGGCGGCCUGUUAGGUGAGGUGUGAAAUCCCACGGCCCAACCGUGGAAUUGCGCUUCAAACCGGCAGGCUUGAGGAAGGUAGAGGUGGACGGAACUGAUGGUGGAGCGGUGAAAUGCGUUGAUAUCAUCAGGAACACCGGAGGCGAAGGCGGUCCACUGGGUCUUUUCUGACGCUGAGGGACGAAAGCUAGGGGAGCGAACGGG